AAAAAAAUAUGGGGUGAUUGUUGUGUGAACUUAACAUAUUAAGAAUACUUUUUAAAAAAUAAAAUCCCCAAAAUUGACCCUGAGGACAUCCCGUAGUUGCAGAAUUACCCAUGUAAACUUAUGACUUCAACUGGGAAUGGAAUACUAACUGGGACAACUUCUGGGAUGAAUUUGAGAACUAUGCACUGGCGACCGGUCUACAUGGAAAAACUCAACGAGGUCCAUGCGGCAACUCUGAGGAACUUAAUGGGCUGCGAAUGCAGGCAAAUCUCACUAACAGCACGACAACGUGAUGCCAAGGCCAUACUAGAUGCAUUGAGAACUACUUAAAAUCCGCAAGGAACGUAAUUUACGAGCGGUUCGUUUUUGGAAGCUGCAAACAGAACGAGUGAGUUAGUACACAACUGUAUAACCCGUUUGAGAGAAAGAUCCGAAACUUGUGAAAGAUGAACUGAAUUGUGGCAAAACAGAACUGAGAAUUGCAAAUGAGUGCACGCGCCGGCGUCUACUAAGAGAGAGGCGUAAGGUUAGUAACUGCCAUUGAAAUGUGCCGAGAGCGAUGGAAAUGGAAAACCCACGCACACGGACACUUGAUACUUUUCAUGCUGUUGCCAGGCAAACAUUCAGACAAAACCAAUCGAGGCAGAGUAAUUCACCGCGAACUGCGGACACAGACAGACCCAUACCAUGCAAAUACGGUGGAAAUGCACACGCAAGAGGCAAAGAGCACUGCCCAGCCUAUGGUAAACCAUGCAGAGUUUAUGGAACUGAUGAACACUUUGCAAAAGUGUGUCUCAAAAGCAAAAGAAGGGCGAGUGAGGGCAAGCGUCAUCUUCCGCAUGCUGGGUCCUCCGAUGACUGUGUGAAACACUGCUGGUUUUUAUUAGAAGGGGGAAUGGGAUAGCAGUGUCUGUGGUUGUUUUAUUUGGUUAGUACUUGGUUCACUAACAUCGAAACAAGGACAGCUGUGUCUUGUUUUGUACUUGAGUUUACUAACAAUUAAACAAUGGGUUGUGUCUGCA